AGUGGAAAAUUUAAAUAAAGACACCCGCCAAAGCUUAGAUCGAGUAAGUUUCCCGGCGAAUUGGUUUUCUUUCUGUGUCUAACCCCCGCCCGUGUCUCAGGCAGCUGAAGAGGAAAAACUUAGAGUCGUCCCGGCUACGAAAGUGUUCCGGCCAGCAGGCCAGCAGCAAGUUAUAGUAUUUUUGUGGUUGGAUUGGCGAGAUUUCUACCGGCAACGGCCCGGGAAAAAAUCCCAAAACCCCCAAGACGUUUUCGGGGCACAAUCGUAAGGUUGUGCCCAGUUAGCAGUAUGUAAGGUCGUCGAGACGAGGAGCAUGUAAACCAGGUAUCACCAACGGAAACCCACGUGCACGUACCGAGGAGCACCCCCUAGCUACAAGCGUACAUAACCUGGUACCACCGAAAUCCGGCGCCUGCACCGUGGAGCACCCCCAUAAACGUCAUGUGUACCUAACCCUGCACCAACGAACAAGCAUGCGCAGCUAACCCUUUUGCACAUGCGCGCAUUUACGAGCCGCUUCUUAUGCACAUGGACGUGUAAGCUUUUGGCGCACACUUACGCAGCUACACCGCGGGAAAUCUCUAGGCCGCACAUACACAUCAGCAGCAGCCUUACCCCAAUGCACAUAGGCGCAAAUUUUAACGGGGUUUAACCCUCUGCUAUUUCUUUGUAUUAUCUCUGGCAAUCAACCCAAUCACUUGCCCCAAUUGCGAGCAUAUUUAACCUGCAACCACAGUGAACCCCAUGGGGGAAAAUAUCUAGGGAAAUU